rnacentral:ncRNA from 2 species
AAUAACGGACAGGGGAGCUUGUGAAACGGGCUGAGAGGAAGUUUAUAACUUCGACCCUUACACCUGAUGUGGAUAAUGCCACCGUAGGAAAGGUCUCUGUUGCUAUUAU